GUUAAUUCGAGUGAUAUGGCUCGGUAGUAAAGCAAUUGCUUAGCCAUGCACUACCCCAGGUCCAGUCCCUAGAAUCACCCUCUAAAUUAUUAUCAUCAUUUGUCAGAGAUGAGGAUUGACGGAAGACCUUGUAUCGUUAUCACCGAAUUAUAGCCCAGCCUUUAAAAUUAUUGUGUUUAACUGUGGUCAAAAUCUGCAUGGCCAAGUUUGUCAUCUGAACCGCGCUGAGGUGGAUAGAUCUGCGGCAGUGUCUUUACCAGAGCCACGAAACUGUCAUCACAAUCCAUUUCCUGAAUGUUUUCCCCAUCCCCGGCUGAAACUUGCAGCCUCUCCCUUUAGCCGAUCGCCACCCCCUUCCUUUCUGUCUCUAUGAGUCAGAGGAGUUAAAGUAGCCCUACGUCACCUGGUACCAUGCCUUCCAGGUUUAUCUAUGAAGCAGCUGGCUCCAGAACCUUCUGCCUGCCUAAGGUCGAAUAAUGCUCUGCUUCUGAGUAUGCUGACUUGGGUUGUCUGUUUACCUCACUGCUGGCUGCUGGCUGCUGUCCCCCUGGGAGCUCCCUGCUUGGCUGCUGUGGCUAAUGCUGCCAGGAGGUCAGUUGUCCAAGAAUCUCUCUCUUCAGGCCCUUCUUCCAGUUCCUCAGGCGCCACAUCCAGAAGCAGGAGAAGAAUCUCAGGAGCAGUGUCCACUCUGCUCACAGACCCUGUUCAUCAUGGCUCCAGUGACUCUCGAUUUCCAUCUCUGCUGUGUUUCUUAGCCAGCACGGGGCCUGCAACUACAUCUCCUAUCUGGAUGCUGUGUAAGGUGCAAGGAGCAGCGCUGUUCUCUGUGGACCCUUGUCUGGUUGUGGCGAUUGCUGGGAAAGAUGAAGUCCCCAGACUGGAGCUCAGGCUGCGAAGAGGCUGGCAUGCCCUGGCAGUGUCAAGGCAUCUUUAAACACUCUCGUGAGCACACUGAGGUCCAGAAAACAGAGCCAUGGGCCGAAACCCAGGACCAAAAUUCCAAUCCUGGCCUGGUUCUAUGAUUUUGUUCCGUCUUCUACAGCUUGAGCCCUGCCAAAAUCAUGUACUCACCAAAGGGCUAUUCAUUUGUUUCUUUGUGUGGUUCAUGGAUAGUUCCUGAACUUCGGGCACCAUCUCUUUCUUGGGUAGAGUAGAGAGAAGCAUAAAAGAAUCUCACUCUUCUGUCUCUGGAUGGGGAAGCCUGGCAGUUUGAGUUUGAUAACUUGCUUACUUAUUUCUGCCUUGGCCAUGUUUCCCAAACCUGUUUGAACCCAAUGCUCUGAGAUGACAAUUUUCACUCUUGCUGUACCUGGAACAGCCCCAAUGUAUUCAUUUUGGUGUCUUAUUAGAAUGAUUAAUAAUACUCAUUUUUGUGUGUGCUUGCAUGCUUAAAAAGUAUCCUGGCUUGGGUGAUAGACCUUCCAGGGACACCCAGCACAAGGCUGCAAUUCCCAACUGAGAGCUGUGCACAAGAGAGCAACUCCAGAAGCCAAGGGUGCACAGUGAGAUUAAGUACCUAAGACAAGGUGCAUCUAGAAAGCAGACCGCAGUUUUAAAAGGCCUGUAAUUACACAGUAUGUAGAAAGCGCCACAAGUGAAGCUUUCCAGAAGCAGAGCUCACCAAAUAACCAUCUGCACUUUAGUGUCGCCAGACUUCCUUUCAGAACAGAUCAGGUCAUGUGACUAGUUGGGUCCUUGUAGUGGCAGAAGCGAGAUGCCCCUUCUAGGCCAAGGCAAGAUCUGCUGCCCUCUGACUUCUACCUGUUGCUGAGAUGACUUCUGUCGCCAAGGCACCUGGAUACCGAGCCACUCCUUGACAAAAGCCCUCUCCAGCCUGCAUGGACCUUGCGUGAGAGAAGUCAAUGUGGCUGUGGGCAGCCCACAGGCUUCCGUUGCCACUGCGUUACAGCUUGUCGUCUUAAUACUGAAAUGAGACCUGGUUCACUUGAUCUCAUUAAUAAAAGGUCUGUGUGCUCCUUCUAGUCA
rnacentral:lncRNA from 1 species